GACAGAGGGGGCAAGCGUUGCUCGGAAUCACUGGGCGUAAAGGGCGCGUAGGCGGGAUGGCAAGUCAGUCGUGAAAUCUCUCGGCUCAACCGAGAAACGUCGGCUGAUACUGCCGUUCUUGAGGGAUGCAGAGGAGACUGGAAUUCCCGGUGUAGCGGUGAAAUGUGUAGAGAUCGGGAGGAACACCGGUGGCGAAGGCGGGUCUCUGGGCCACUACUGACGCUGAGAAGCGAAAGCAUGGGGAGCGAACAGG
rnacentral:rRNA from 1 species